AAAUUUUGCCGGGGGUGUUCUCGUCAGAACUGAGAGCUCUUAAAGGGCAACCCUCUGAACCUGAUCUGGGUAAUGCCAGCGAAGGGAAGGCACCCAUCAUAAUGA
rnacentral:ncRNA from 2 species